UACAGAGGGGGCAAGCGUUGUUCGGAAUUACUGGGCGUAAAGCGCACGUAGGCGGCUUUGUAAGUCAGGGGUGAAAGCCUGGAGCUCAACUCCAGAACUGCCUUUGAUACUGCAUGGCUUGAAUCCGGGAGAGGUGAGUGGAAUUCCGAGUGUAGAGGUGAAAUUCGUAGAUAUUCGGAAGAACACCAGUGGCGAAGGCGGCUCACUGGACCGGGAUUGACGCUGAGGUGCGAAAGCGUGGGGAGCAAACAGG
rnacentral:rRNA from 1 species